GGGGAAGUGAAUCGGGAGGACGAGAAGUUACAGGGAGGUUUCCUAAUCUCAACGCGCGCCGCACGAUAGAGCAUGCGUGGGCACGUCUGCCAAUUAGAUUGGCCGUUCAAUGUAUUUGGUACUUCCUCCGUUCCUAUAUACUUGUCAUGGUUUCAGUGCAAACAUAGAGAGUACAAUUUUAAGAUACGGUGCAAUGAGAGUUCUC
rnacentral:lncRNA from 1 species